GACGAACGCUGGCGGCGUGCUUAACACAUGCAAGUCGAACGGAAAGGCCUGCUUUCCCUUGUGGAUUGCGGGUGCGCGCGUGGCGAACGGGCGAGUAACACGUGAGUGAUCUGCCCCCAACUUUGGUAUAAGCCUGGGAAACUGCCUCUAAUUCCCGAUAGGACCGCAGUGUGGUGCCUGUGGUGGCAAACGAUUUUCUAGUGGUUGGGGCUGGGCUCGCGGCCUAUCAGCUUGUUGGUGGGGUAAUGGCCGACCAAGGCGGUGACGGGUAGGCGGGCUGGGAGGGUGGACGGGCGAAUUGGGACUGGGAUACGGCCCAGACUGCUGCGGGAGGAGGCAGGGGGGAGUAAUGGACGGUGGGCGGAAGCCUGAAGCAGCGACGCGGCGUGGGGGAUGUCGGCUUUCGGAUUGUGAACUCCUUUGGAGCGCGAGGGAGCGACCUGGUUGGAAGGGUUGUGACGGUAGUGGUAGAAGAAGCACCGGCUAACUACGUG
rnacentral:rRNA from 1 species